AAUAUUGCGCAAUGGAGGGAACUCUGACGCAGCGACGCCGCGUGAGCGAUGAAGGNUUNNGUAUUNUNAAGCUCUGUCCUUGGNNNNNAUGGGAGCCGUNAGGUUUCUUGACGGUACCCAUGCAGGAAGCACUGGCUAACUACGUUCCAGCAGCCGCGGUAAUACGUAGGGGGCAAGCGUUGUCCGGAAUUAUUGGGCGUAAAGGGUGAGUAGGAGGCCCUUUAAGUCAGAUGUGAAAGCCCACGGCUUAACCGUGGGACUGCAUUUGAAAAUGGAGGGCUUGAGUGUCGGAGAGGGCAGUGGAAUUCCCAAUGUAGCGGUGGAAUGCGUAGAUAUUGGGAGGAACACCAGUGGCGAAGGCGACUGCCUGGACGAUAACUGACGCUGAGGAACGAAAGCUAGGGGAGCAAAC
rnacentral:rRNA from 1 species